AAGCCAGACUCCUACGGGAGGCAGCAGUGGGGAAUAUUGCACAAUGGGGGGAACCCUGAUGCAGCGACGCCGCGUGGGCGAGGAAGUCUUUCGGUAUGUAAAGCCCUAUCGGCAGGGAAGAAGAAAUGACGGUACCUGAAUAAGAAGCACCGGCUAAAUACGUGCCAGCAGCCGCGGUAAUACGUAGGGGGCAAGCGUUAUCCGGAUUUACUGGGUGUAAAGGGUGCGCAGGUGGCAGGGCAAGUCAGAUGUGAAAGCCCGGGGCUCAACCCCGGUAUUGCAUUUGAAACUGUCCGGCUAGAGUGCAGGAGAGGUAAGCGGAAUUCCUAGUGUAGCGGUGAAAUGCGUAGAUAUUAGGAGGAACACCAGUGGCGAAGGCGGCUUACUGGACUGUAACUGACACUGAGGCACGAAAGCGUGGGGAGCAAACAGGAUUAGAUACCCUCGUA
rnacentral:rRNA from 1 species